rnacentral:rRNA from 1 species
AGAGCGAACGCUGGCGGCAGGCCUAACACAUGCAAGUCGAACGGACCCUUCGGGGUUAGUGGCGGACGGGUGAGUAACACGUGGGAACGUGCCUUUUGGUUCGGAAUAGCUCCUGGAAACGGGUGGUAAUGCCGAAUGUGCCCUUCGGGGGAAAGAUUUAUCGCCAUUAGAGCGGCCCGCGUCUGAUUAGCUAGUUGGUGAGGUAAAGGCUCACCAAGGCUACGAUCAGUAGCUGGUCUGAGAGGAUGACCAGCCACAUUGGGACUGAGACACGGCCAAACUCCUACGGGAGGCAGCAGUGGGGAAUCUUGCGCAAUGGGCGAAAGCCUGACGCAGCCAUGCCGCGUGAAUGAUGAAGGUCUUAGGAUUGUAAAAUUCUUUCACCGGGACGAUAAAUGAACGGUACCCGGAGAAAGAAGCCCCGGCGUAACUACGUGCCAGCAGCCGC